rnacentral:rRNA from 1 species
UACGUAGGGUGCAAGCGUUAAUCGGAAUUACUGGGCGUAAAGCGUGCGCAGGCGGCUUUGCAAGACAGAUGUGAAAUCCCCGGGCUUAACCUGGGAACUGCAUUUGUGACUGCAUGGCUGGAGUGCGGCAGAGGGGGAUGGAAUUCCGCGUGUAGCAGUGAAAUGCGUAGAUAUCGGGAGGAACACCAGUGGCGAAGGCGGCUUCCUGGACCAGCACUGACGCUGAGGCGCGAAAGCUAGGGGAGCAAACAGG